CGAACGCUGGCGGCAGGCCUAACACAUGCAAGUCGAGCGCGCCCUUUCGGGGGUGAGCGGCGGACGGGUGAGUAACGCGUGGGAACGUGCCCUUUGCUGCGGAAUAGUCCCGGGAAACUGGGGGUAAUACCGCAUACGCCCUUUGGGGGAAAGAUUUAUCGGCGAAGGAUCGGCCCGCGUUGGAUUAGGUAGUUGGUGGGGUAAUGGCCCACCAAGCCGACGAUCCAUAGCUGGUUUGAGAGGAUGAUCAGCCACACUGGGACUGAGACACGGCCCAGACUCCUACGGGAGGCAGCAGUGGGGAAUCUUAGACAAUGGGGGCAACCCUGAUCUAGCCAUGCCGCGUGAGUGAUGAAGGCCUUAGGGUUGUAAAGCUCUUUCAGCUGGGAAGAUAAUGACGGUACCAGCAGAAGAAGCCCCGGCUAACUCC
rnacentral:rRNA from 1 species